UACGGAGGGGGCAAGCGUUAUCCGGAUUUACUGGGUGUAAAGGGAGCGUAGACGGCCGUGCAAGCCAGGAGUGAAAGCCCGGGGCCCAACCCCGGGACUGCUCUGGGAACUGUCCGGCUGGAGUGCGGGAGGGGCAGGCGGAAUUCCUGGUGUAGCGGUGAAAUGCGUAGAUAUUAGGAGGAACACCAGUGGCGAAGGCGGCCUGCUGGACGGUGACUGACGCUGAGGCACGAAAGUGUGGGGAGCAAACAGG
rnacentral:rRNA from 1 species